rnacentral:lncRNA from 1 species
AAGCACACAACUUGAGGGCCCAUGCUGGAGCCCAUCCCACAGUCACCUCUCAGUUCUGGCUUUGGGAGUUCCUCCCUAAUUCAAGACAAGAUCACAAAACCCAGCCCAAGACACUCUGAAGCAGUGACUGUCAUUCCUGCUAGCUGCUUAGGUUCCCAUACAGCCCUCUCUGAGCUAGGAUUGGUGUGGCACCCAGGUGUGAGAUCCUUCCUAGUGUCAUUCCUGCUCCGUCUCUCUGCUACUCCCCAAGUCAGAUCUGGGGUGUGGUAGGGUCAGGACGCUCCCCUGCGGCCUGGAUUGCCUGGCUAUCUGGUGGGAAUGUGUAUUGCAGAGACACUCACCUGCUCUCACACACUAGGAAUUUACUCACAAUUUUCUGCUGGAUCUCACCACAAAGGAUU